ensembl:miRNA
GCCAGGUACGUGGAUGCUGAAGGUCAGAGGGAAGUGCUUCUGUCUGCACAUGUGUUCUCCAGUCCUCUGACCUUCCUGCAUCCCGUUCAUCUCUAGGA